rnacentral:rRNA from 1 species
GACGAACUCUGGCGGCGCGCCUAACACAUGCAAGUCGAACGGAGCUUAGAGAGCUUGCUUUUUAAGCUUAGUGGCGAACGGGUGAGUAACGCGUGAGUAACCUGCCCUAGAGUGGGGGACAACAGUUGGAAACGACUGCUAAUACCGCAUAAGCCCACGGUACCGCAUGGUACUGAGGGAAAAGGAUUUAUUCGCUUUAGGAUGGACUCGCGUCCAAUUAGCUAGUUGGUGAGGUAACGGCCCACCAAGGCGACGAUUGGUAGCCGGACUGAGAGGUUGAACGGCCACAUUGGGACUGAGACACGGCCCACACUCCUACGGGAGGCAGCAGUGGGGGAUAUUGCACAAUGGGGGAAACUCUGAUGCAGCGACGCCGCGUGGAGGAAGAAGGUUUUCGGAUUGUAAACUCCUGUCGUUAGGGACGAUAAUGACGGUACCUAACAAGAAAGCACCGGCUAACUACGUGCCAGCAGCCGCGGUAAAACGUAGGGUGCAAGCGUUGUCCGGAAUUACUGGGUGUAAAGGGAGCGCAGGCGGGAAGACAAGUUGGAAGUGAAAACCAUGGGCUCAACCCAUGAAUUGCUUUCAAAACUGUUUUUCUUGAGUAGUGCAGAGGUAGAUGGAAUUCCCGGUGUAGCGGUGGAAUGCGUAGAUAUCGGGAGGAACACCAGUGGCGAAGGCGGUCUACUGGGCACCAACUGACGCUGAGGCUCGAAAGCAUGGGUAGCAAACAGGAUUAGAUACCCUGGUAGUCUAUGCCGUAAACGAUGAUUAUAGGGUGUUGGGGGAUUGACCCCCUCAGUGCCGCAGUUUAACACAAUAAGGUAAUCCCCCUGGGGAGUACGACCGCAAGGUUGAAACUCAAAGGAAUUGACGGGGGCCCGCACAAGCAGUGGAGUAUGUGGUUUAAUUCGAAGCAACGCGAAGAACCUUACCAGGUCUUGACAUCCGAUGCAUAGCACAGAGAUGUGUGAAAUCCUUCGGGACAUCGAGACAGGUGGUGCAUGGUUGUCGUCAGCUCGUGUCGUGAGAUGUUGGGUUAAGUCCCGCAACGAGCGCAACCCUUAUUGCCAGUUACUACGUUAAGAGGACUCUGGCGAGACUGCCGUUGACAAAACGGAGGAAGGUGGGGAUGACGUCAAAUCAUCAUGCCCUUUAUGACCUGGGCUACACACGUACUACAAUGGCGUUAAACAAAGAGAAGCAAGACCGCGAGGUGGAGCAAAACUCAAAAACAACGUCUCAGUUCAGAUUGCAGGCUGCAACUCGCCUGCAUGAAGUCGGAAUUGCUAGUAAUCGCGGAUCAGCAUGCCGCGGUGAAUACGUUCCCGGGCCUUGCACA